rnacentral:rRNA from 1 species
UGGCGGCGCGCCUAAUACAUGCAAGUCGAGCGCGGGAAGCCGGCAAUCACCCUUCGGGGUGUGCGCCUGUGGAACGAGCGGCGGAUGGGUGAGUAUCACGUGGGCAACCUGCCUGUAAGAUUGGGAUAACUCGCGGAAACGUGAGCUAAUACCGAAUGAAGUCUUUCACCGCCUGGUGAAAGGAUGAAAGAUGGCUCUUGAGCUAUCACUUACAGAUGGGCCCGCGGCGCAUUAGCUAGUUGGUGGGGUAAAGGCCUACCAAGGCGACGAUGCGUAGCCGACCUGAGAGGGUGAUCGGCCACACUGGGACUGAGACACGGCCCAGACUCCUACGGGAGGCAGCAGUAGGGAAUCUUCCGCAAUGGACGAAAGUCUGACGGAGCAACGCCGCGUGAGUGAAUGAAGGUCUUCGGAUCGUAAAACUCUGUUGUCAGGGAAGAACAAGUUGUGUUCUAACAGGACAUGACCUUGACGGUACCUGACCAGAAAGCCCCGGCUAACUACGUGCCAGCAGCUGC